rnacentral:rRNA from 1 species
GACGAACCGCGCGAACGUUGUUCGGAAUUACUGGGCUUAAAGGGCGCGUAGGCGGGUUCUCAAGUCUGAUGUGAAAUUCCGCGGCUCAACCGUGGAAUUGCAUCCGAAACUGAUAAUCUUGAGUGCUGGAGGGGCAAGCGGAAUUGUGGGUGGAGCGGUGAAAUGCGUUGAUAUCGAGAGGAACACCAGUGGCGAAGGCGGCUUGCUGGACCUCUUCUGACGCUGAGGCUCGAAAGCUUGGGGAGCAAACGGG